CGUUCACCCCUCUGCUGGGGGUGGGCAGCCUUUGCUCUCCCAACACACACUGGGGCGAAGGAAGACCUGCCCUUCCCAAAGAGUUCAACUCAACCACAUGUAUGGUGCUUCCCGUGUGCCAGGCAUGGUGCCAGGCCCCGGGGACAUGCCAUGACUACGCCGCGUCUCUGCUCUCAAGGAACUCACUCUAGUGUGGAGAAAGACACCCGACAGACUGUCUAAAACCUGGUGAUUACACAGAAGGCGGGAGCGCAGGGGACACCUGACCCCCUGGGACAGCCGUGAAGGGAUUGGGAAAAUGCUUCCUGUGGGGUGGAGGCCCUGAGGAGUUUGGGAAGGAAGAGGGAUUCAGGUGAAGGUGACCUGAGCGGGUGGGUUCAUCAGGAAAGGACGCCAGAGCGCCAGGGGCCAGUCACAGCCCGGAGAGUGGGAAAUGACAGCAAUUUUGGAAUUGCACACAAGGCGGGAAAGGGGAAAUGAUGCUGUAGAAAGCAGGAGAAGCCAGAUAAUGCGGAUGCAUAGCCAGACCCAGGGCGUGGGCUUUUUCUCGCGAGCUGUGGGUGCCACUUAGGGAGACUAGAGGAUAGCGAACAGGAGAGGGAUGUGCUCAAAGCUGGCAGCUGCACGUUGGAAACUAAAUCAGGGGUAUGGGGACAUGAGAUCCUAUGGGGAGACCAGAGCCAUAGACUCGGAGAUGGAGGAUGAAGACCUGAACUGGGGUGGAGGCAGAGAGAAGGCAGAAGGAAGAAGGGAUGGAAAUGAGAUAGGAGACAAACUCGGCCAGCCCAGCCGGAAGCUGUGGCUGGUUGGCCCCUGGGGUUGGGGUGGAGAGGAGGGAGGGAGGCAGUCUGACUUCUGGCUUUGGAGAUGUCAGCUGUGAAAAGGUCUCUGACCAGGCCUGUAUGGGGCAGGUAGUCACUGUUUACUUGUGUCACACACACACACACAGCAGAAGGAGUGUAUUAGAAGCACCUCAUGCAACCCUGCUGGCGGGAGUGUAAACUGGUGCAACCUCUUUGAAGAGUGAUUUGACAAUAUCUAUCAAAAAUAUUUUUAAAAUGCAGACACCUUUUGUCUAGCAAUUCCACUUUUAGGGAUUUACACUGUAGAUAAAAUGUAUAUACAUAUAACCUCGUAUGUGGGUGGGUAUUAAUUGCAUCCUUUGUAAUCACAAAACACUUGAAAUAACCUAAGUGUCCACCAAGAAGAGACUGGUUAAAUAGAUGCUGCUAUGUCUAUAGCAAAGAAUGCCAUGCAGUCAUGAAAAGUGAUGAGGUGGAAGAUAGACCAGUAAAUGAAACAAAGCAAGAUUCAUAACUAGAGUGAUGGCAUAUUCCCACUAGAGGGAAUAUAAAGUAGACACAGAUAUAAGUGUAUACUUUUCAUUUUUUUGCUGAGGAAGAUUCACCCUGAGCUCACCUCCAUGCCAAUCUUCCUUUACUUUACACGUGGGUUGCUGCCACAGCAUGACCAACAAGUAAUGUAGGAUCUGAACCCACGAACCCAGGCUGCCAAAGCAGAGCGCACUGAACCCAAGCACUACACAGGGCGGGCCCCUACAUAUAUACUUCUGUAUAGUUCAGUAGGGUCCACAGGAAGUGGGGAUCAUGGGUAAUCACAGGGAGCGGGGCUGGGGGACUGGAUAGGAGUCGUCUAAGAUGGGAGGGACACAUUUUAUUACACAUCUGUUUGUAUUUUUGAAUUAUUUUACCAGGCACAUUUAUUAAUUGUUUUAAAUAAAAAUCAGUUUAAAAUUAAAAACACAGAGUCGGCUUUCAAUAUCAAAGGCACAAAUCACAAAUUCCAUGUCAUUCCUUUGAAUGGUCAUCACAUGCCCACUCUGUUUCAGG
rnacentral:lncRNA from 1 species